UUUUUAUCUCGGAAGAUACUCCUUUUUGUUCUUUGUCUGAAACCUUCGACAAUUUUCUAAUCUGAGAAAAUAAUCUUUGUCGGCCGAUCGACGAAGCUGUAUCGAAAUCCAUCUGAAAUCCACUUCCAUCGUCUUCGCUUAUACAUCAAUUCUUUGCAAAUUAUAAGAUCUUAAAAGAGAUUAGUAGCCAUAUUUCGAUGGUUUCUCAAAAGAAGAAGAAUAAUGAAGAUAAGUUUUUUUUAUCCAGAUUAUUCUAUAGCUUGAGCACUUUAUUGCAAAAUGCUCCUGCUUCAUUAUUCUUUAGCAAAAAAAGAUAAUUAAACAUUUUAUUUACAAAUAAUCAUUAGAAGAGUAAAUCUAUACUAUUGAUAAAUCGUAAAUUACAGAUGUAUCAGCAAGAAUCAUCUCGACAGUCUCCCCGGAGUAUUGGGUGUAUUGAGUCCAUGAAUGGACGAUUUUCACUUGGAUCUUCCAUUGAGUCUUGAAUGGUUUGACUGCAUUAAGUUCUGUGAUGAGAAGAGCCAUUGUUUGAGAGAUCUACUAAAUGCGA